GCCGUUUCAAUGUGGACGCACAACUCUGUGAAAACGACUGAAAACGAUAGUGUGGACACGGAGCGUUUUCAGACAAAAACGCCGUUUUCAAAUUUAUCCGGGCUAGUGUGGACGUAAGAUCACAGGCUGUUCUAUUGACAUCACCAGUCCUCACACUUCAAAGCACAAAGCGUGUAAUGUCAUAGUAACGCAUUCUGCGAUAGGAGGUCAUAUAUAGGAGUGAACCUGACAUUCAUACAGCGUGAACUGGCUGCCUGCCCUCACGUCUGCAGUGCUGCCGUCUCCUGUAACCCUGCAUAUUACCAAGUUGCCUUUCCCCACCUGUAUCCAGUCAUCACACUUCAAAGCACAAAGCGUGUGAUGUCACAGUAACGCAUUCUGUGAUAGGAGGUCAUAUAUAGGAGUGAACCUGACACUCACACAGCCUGAACUGGCUGCCUGUCCUCACGUCUGCAGUGCUGCCAUCUCCUGUAACCCUGCAUGUUUCUAAGCUGCCUAUCCUCACCUGUGCAGUGCUGCUGUCUCCGGUUACCCUGAAAGUUUCUAAGUUGCAUAUCCCCACCUGUAUAGGAGUGAAAUUGACGCUCACACACCCUGAACUGGCUACCUGUCCUCACCUGUGCAGUGCUACCGUCUCCUGUCACCCUGCAUGUAUCCAACUUUAGUUUUCUCCGUUUUUAUGAUGUUCUCGUAAUUUUUAUCCUCAGAUGAGGUUUGAAGUGUCUGUGUGGUGCAGCUGGCCUGGUCUGUCUCUAUACAGUCGAGGCUGCACCCACCUAUAAAAAGGUGGAGGCUCACCAGGACAUGCACACCUCACAAGUUCCUGGCUCUCUCGGCUCGGUUGAAGACGGGUUUCUUCGAGAAGGGAGGGCAAUGAGGCACAGUCCCCCGCCCCCCGACGCCCCUCGCGAUGCCCCUCCUUCUUCGACUAACCCGCUGCAGAGGAGCCGUGAGAGCCAGGAACUUGUGAGUUUUGUAUGUCCACUCAGGCAUCAUUCAUACCUGGUCUGUAGGAAGUUCCUGUCAGAAG